GUUUUUCGCUUUGAGAUGAGCCCAUACGGGAUUAGCUAGUUGGUGAGGUAAUGGCUCACCAAGGCUACGAUCCCUAACUGGUCUUAGAGGAUGAUCAGUCACACUGGAACUGAGACACGGUCCAGACUCCUACGGGAGGCAGCAGUAGGGAAUAUUGCACAAUGGGGGAAACCCUGAUGCAGCGACGCCGCGUGAGUGAUGAAGGCCUUCGGGUCGUAAAGCUCUGUCGUAUGGGACUAACACAAUG
rnacentral:rRNA from 1 species